AGCUUUUCCCUGACUCUCCCGUGUCCUCCUGCCUGGAAGUCCCGCUUUUCCCCCGAGGCCAGCCGUAGAAACUAGAAUUCCUCUUUCCCAACGCCAGCCAUAAAACCUAAAAAUAUGAUUCUAAUUUCCCCUCCAUCUUUCUGUAUCAAAACUGGCCAUUGAAAAAUGGCCCACCUUGUUUCACUGUAGCUCAUAAGACCCCCAUUCCACAGCAGGUCCUGCCCCAUACCCUGAAGGAAGGAAUGCUGUUCAGAGAGGCCAAGAAGAAUCCAGGUGGACAGGCCUUGCCAUCUCUUUACACUGAUUGCUACUGAGUCCAGCCACGUUAGGUGAUUUUUUUUUUAGACGGAGUCUUGCUCUGUUGCCCAGUCUGGAGUGCAGUGGCGUAACCUCUGCUCACUGCAACCUCCACCUCCCGGGUUCAAGAGAUUCUGCUGCCUCAGCCUCCUGAGUAGCUGGGAUUACAGGUGUGCACCACCAUGACCGGCUAAUUUUUGUAUUUUUGUUAGACACAGAGUUUCACCAUGUUGGCCAGGCUGGUCUCGAACUCCUGACCUCAGGUGAUCCGCCCACCUCUGCCUCCCAAAGUGCUGGGAUUACAGGCGUGAGCCACCACGCCCGACCUAGGUCAUACUCUUUUUGUCCAGUUAUAUUUCUACACAGCUGUCCAUAGUUUGUUAAAUGUAAGCAUAAAAAUAGACAAUUUCCCCUGUGUCUUUUGGUCUUUGUUCAAAAGGCUUCUCUAUCUAUACGCUAAAUAAAUUUAUAUGCCUUUUUUCCUAUUAAUUUGCCUUUUGUGAGUUGACUUUUCAGAGGACCUACAUUUUGGUGUGGCGAGCAGGGUCACCAAAGCUGCUCUGCUCUUCCGGAAGCCACAGAAAAGGGAACCCAGGAACCAGAUCAGCUGGCAAAAAGUGUGGAGUAGUUUUCUACCAGGACAGAGUUAACAACCCAUAAAGGUCUCUGCUUAAGUAAGAAGUCCAUUUCUGUGAACCAUAACCCAGAUAUAGCAACGCCAGACUGUCUCCUAUCAAAAUUUAUUGAAAUGGUAGAUUUUUGUGUGGAGUAGUUUUCUACCAGGACAAAGUUAACAACCCAUAAAGGUCUCUGCUUAAGUAAGAAGUCCAUUUCUGUGAACCAUAACCCAGAUAUAGCAACGCCAGACUGUCUCCUAUCAAAAUUUAUUGAAAUGGUAGAUUUUUGGUAAGUACAGAAACACAAGCGAAGGAACCAGGAGGAACGUGCACCCCUCUA
rnacentral:lncRNA from 1 species